rnacentral:rRNA from 1 species
AGGAGAUUAAAGAUUUAUCGGUGAUGGAUGGGGAUGCGUCUGAUUAGCUUGUUGGCGGGGUAACGGCCCACCAAGGCUACGAUCAGUAGGGGUUCUGAGAGGAAGGUCCCCCACAUUGGAACUGAGACACGGUCCAAACUCCUACGGGAGGCAGCAGUGAGGAAUAUUGGUCAAUGGGCGAGAGCCUGAACCAGCCAAGUAGCGUGCAGGAUGACGGCCCUAUGGGUUGUAAACUGCUUUUAUAAGGGAAUAAAGUGAGUCUCGUGAGACUUUUUGCAUGUACCUUAUGAAUAAGGACCGGCUAAUUCCGUGCCAGCAGCCGCGGUAAUACGGAAGGUUCGGGCGUUAUCCGGAUUUAUUGGGUUUAAAGGGAGCGUAGGCCGGAGAUUAAGCGUGUUGUGAAAUGUAGAUGCUCAACAUCUGCACUGCAGCGCGAACUGGUUUCCUUGAGUACGCACAAAGUGGGCGGAAUUCGUGGUGUAGCGGUGAAAUGCUUAGAUAUCACGAAGAACCCCGAUUGCGAAGGCAGCUCACUGGAGCGCAACUGACGCUGAAGCUCGAAAGUGCGGGUAUCGAACAGGAUUAGAUACCCUGGUAGUCCGCACGGUAAACGAUGGAUGCCCGCUGUUGGUCUGAAUAGGUCAGCGGCCAAGCGAAAGCAUUAAGCAUCCCACCUGGGGAGU